rnacentral:rRNA from 1 species
GGUGAGUAAUGCGUAGGAAUCUACCUAGUAGUACGGAAUAGCCAUUAGAAAUGGUGGGUAAUACUGUAUAAUCCCCGAGGGGGAAAGAUUUAUCGCUAUUAGAUGAGCCUACGUUAGAUUAGCUAGUUGGUGAGGUAAUGGCUUACCAAGGCUAUGAUCUAUAGCUGGUCUGAGAGGACGAUCAGCCACACUGGAACUGAGAUACGGUCCAGACUCCUACGGGAGGCAGCAGUGGGGAAUAUUGGACAAUGGGCGAAAGCCUGAUCCAGCUAUGCCGCGUGAGUGAAGAAGGCCUUCGGGUUGUAAAACUCUUUCAAUAGGGAAGAUAAUGACGGUACCUAUAGAAGAAGUCCCGGCAAACUCUGUGCCAGCAGCCGCGGUAAUAC